rnacentral:lncRNA from 10 species
GACCUCAGUUGAUCCCCGACUUCAGCCUCCCAAAGUGCUGGGAUUACAGGCGUGAGCCUCCGCGCCUGGCCCUGAAAAAUUUUUUUGUAGAGAUGGGGACUCACUUUGUUGGCUAGCCUGGUCUCAAACUCCUGGACUCAAGCGAUCCUCCUGCCUCAGCCACCCAAAGUGCUGUGAUUACAGGUGUGAGCCACUGCACCCAGCUGUCUGCCUCCGCCUCCAGUACUUGCUCCCUGGGAGUGCCUGGGCCAUUUUUUCACUCUGCACCUUUGGUUUCCUCCUCUAUGACAUAGGGAUAAGGCAUGCAGAGCCCUUAGUGCAGCACCUGGAAUGUGGUUGGUGUUGAAAACUAGUAGCUAUUGGUUGAGGCAAGAAUCAUCACUAGAAUAUAAGAGUAGUGAGUAAAAAUGUGGUAAGAGAAUAUUUCUCUCAAAUAUCUCCCCAUAAAUUGCUUGUUAAUUAAAAAUGGGGGCAGGGUGCAGUGGCUCACACCUGUAAUCCCAACACUUUGGGAGGCCGAGGUGGGAGGAUCACUUGAGGCCAGGGGUUCGAGACCAGCCCAGGCAACAUAGUGUAAUCCCAGCACUUUGGGAGGCUGAGGCAGGCGGAUCACCUGAGGUCAGGAGUUCGAGACCAGCUUGGCCAACAUGGCGAAACCCCGUCUCUACUAAAAAUACAAAAAUUAGUCGGGCGUGGUGGU